AGGCUGCCCCAGCUGGCAGUGGCAAUCCUCUCCGGUCCCCUUCCGGGCUGUGGGAGCUUUGUUCUUUUGCUCUUUGCAAUAAAUCUUGCUGCUGCUCGCUCUUUGGGUCCACAUUGCCUUUGUGAGCUGUAACACUCACGGCGAAGGUCUGCAGCUUCACUCCUAAAGCCAGAGAGACCACAAACCCACCGGGAGGAACGAACAACUCCAGACGCGCGGCCUUAAGAGCUGUAACACUCACCGCGAAAGUCUGCAGCUUCACUCCUAAAGCCAGCGAGACCACGAACCCACCAGGAGGAACGAACAAUUCCAGAUGCGCCGCCUUAGGAGCUGUAACACUCACCGCGAAGAUCUGCAGCUUCACUCCUGAGCCGGCGAGACCACGAACCCCACCAGAAGGAAGAAACUCCGGACACGCCGCCUUUAAGAACUAUAACACUCACGGCGAGGGUCCACGGCUUCAUUCUUGAAGUCAGUGAAACCAAGAACCCACCAAUUCCGGACACAGCAGGAUCCCACCCACAGAACCGCCAGGUGCACAGCUGCAUAUCCUCAGGGGAAAACUCCCCUCCCCUGCCACCUUACUGAUAGGCUUCACUUCCCAGAGAACUUUCCCAAUCCUGUGCAAUGCCUGAGUGGUACAUUGUAUUCUAUGAGAAUGGCGCCCCCGCCUCCAGAGUUGUGCAACAAGACUUCCAUGAAUCAAAGCCCAUCGCUGGCUGCCUCCUCUAGCCCUGCAUAGCCCAGGUACAUCUGAAAGGAGUGAGAAGUGUUUUGAGGGCUCUCCCUGUCUCUUCCUGCACCUCUCUCUUGUGAUCCCAGAAGCUACAACCUCAGCCCAGAUUAGCAGGCUGAGGGGUCAGGAGGCUGUCACUGGAGCUGUUGAGCUCAUGAACACGCCGAAGUUGCUGCGCUCCAGAAAUGUGGAAGUUGGAAUGAAGAGCCACCACUGCUGCCACCAACAUGAAGCUUGACCAAGCAAGCCAAGAAAAGAUGGCCAAGAGCCUCUGCCUUCCUUCUGCCUUCUGCAACGCAAUGGUGAGCUGCACAUCCACAACUUGAAGGGAGUCUGGGAAAUGCAGAGUUAAACUUUCUAGCCUCUCUAAGCUUUCAACUGUUACAGAAAGGCAACCCAGGAGGAGACUGGAAUAAAUGCUGAGUGCCAAUUUCCAACACAAGUAGUCAUUAUAAUUGGGAGAAGGCUACUUGGACCUAAAGGAAUGAAUUAGGAAGCGGUCUACUACCAAAGUACAAUGAAGGGCUCAAGGGCAGUGACUGCCCCACUCCACCACAGAGUGGGAGAGGGCUGGACCCCAGUGCCACUUUCGGCCACCCCUGGGCCAC
rnacentral:lncRNA from 1 species